AGCAGCCGCGGUAAUUCCAGCUCCAAUAGCGUAUAUUAAAGUUGUUGCAGUUAAAAAGCUCGUAGUUGAAUUUCGGGAUCAAUACGUCGGUCGUGCUUCGGUACGUACUGGCGUCAUUGGUUUCUCCCUUCUGAAGAACCAUGAUGUCAUUAACUUGGUGUCAUGGGAAAUCAGGACUGUUACUUUGAAAAAAUUAGAGUGUUUAAAGCAGGCUCACGCUUGAAUACAUUAGCAUGGAAUAAUGAAAUAGGACGUUCGAACCUAUUUUGUUGGUUUCUAGGAUCAACGUAAUGAUUAAUAGGGAUAGUUGGGGGCAUUAGUAUUCAAUUGUCAGAGGUGAAAUUCUUGGAUUUAUUGAAGACUAACUACUGCGAAAGCAUUUGCCAAGGAUGUUUUCAUUAAUCAAGAACGAAAGUUAGGGGAUCGAAGACGAUCAGAUACCGUCGUAGUCUUAACCAUAAACUAUGCCGACUAGGGAUCGGAUGAUGUUAAUUAUUUAAUGACUCAUUCGGCGCCUUACG
rnacentral:rRNA from 1 species